UGGGGAAUUUUGGACAAUGGGCGCAAGCCUGAUCCAGCAAUGCCGCGUGCAGGAUGAAGGCCUUCGGGUUGUAAACUGCUUUUGUACGGAGCGAAAAGCCUUGGGCUAAUACCCUAGGGUCAUGACGGUACCGUAAGAAUAAGCACCGGCUAACUACGUGCCAGCAGCCGCGGUAAUACGUAGGGUGCGAGCGUUAAUCGGAAUUACUGGGCGUAAAGCGUGCGCAGGCGGUUAUGUAAGACAGAGGUGAAAUCCCCGGGCUCAACCUGGGAACUGCCUUUGUGACUGCAUAGCUAGAGUACGGCAGAGGGGGAUGGAAUUCCGCGUGUAGCAGUGAAAUGCGUAGAUAUGCGGAGGAACACCGAUGGCGAAGGCAAUCCCCUGGGCCUGUACUGACGCUCAUGCACGAAAGCGUGGGGAGCAAACAGG
rnacentral:rRNA from 1 species